CAGACAAGCAAUCCUCAGGGAGCCUAGGACACCUAGCUGGCCCCAGGAGACUUGCUAUAUAUAGGGUGCUCUCUGCAGCUCCAGGUUGCUUGCUGUGUCUGCUGGACGGCCCAGUGUGUGGUCUUCCUUGAUGCCCUUCUCUCUUUUUAAGCCCUGAGUCACAGAGAAUUCUGCCUUUUAUCUGCCCAGGUGUCAUUGUGUUGUGUCCCACUAUCAAGAACAUUUAAAUCUGGGAGUUCUCUGGUGGCAAAAUCGGGUUAAGGAUCCAGCAUUGUCACUGCAGUGGCUUGGGUUACUGCUGUGGUGCGGGUUCAGUCCCUGGCCCGGGAACUUCCACAUCCUACAGGCACGGCCAAAAAAGAAUGUUUAAAUCUUGCAAAGCAACGAUGCACCCGGAAGAGUAUUGUGAGUGUAGUGACUGCUGACAGUUAUUCAGCUCUUAACCUAAACUCCAACAACUCUAAUAAAUUUAAAUUGGAGAAACGUCUUCGAAAUGCAUGCAAUGUCCUCUUCCCUUGUUCUACAAUUUCAGAGCAAAGCUCUGGAGAUUAGCCUUUGUGGAGGAGAAAUCAGCCAGACAUGGAACCUCAUGCAUCCAGACAUCCUAGGGAAAUUCUCUUAAGUACCAAGAAGACUGGAAGAUUUCAGGAUGCACCUUGCACUUUCGGACCUGCCUGGAGUCCUUGGCAAAAAUAAGCUGCUGCCAGUAGCUGUUAUAGGAACCUUUCUCUACUGUAUACCAGGGGAUCACAGGGCUCAAGAAUCCUCCUUGAGGUGCUCAGAGAGGACAGAAAGCUCUGCUUUUCCUUCAUCUGGACGACUCACCAGUUGCUUGACUUUUGAGCUGCCUCUUUCCCUCCCCACUGAUUGUUUUUGGUGGGUUAUGACCCAGCUUUGGACAAGAGGACUCUAGCUGGCUUCUGCAAGUGGCUUAUGGAGAUUUACCUUCUUAGUAUAUUUGACUGACUUGUAAGAGUUGGGUUGAUUUUUUUCCACCCUGAGACUCACCCACCCCAGGACUGCCCAGCUCACCCUGCAGGUGUGUGUGGUGAUAAGGUUCUUAUAGAUGAAGGAUGUUUAUUCGUGGGAUGCUAUUUAAUAUCUGCUGUGGACGGACUGAGAGUAGAUACUCCCUGCUCUGCCAGAAUAAAAGAGUCAACAGAUUUUUUGGGGACCUCUAGUUUCUCUCGGAGUUCCCGUCGUGGCGCAGCGGAAACGAGUCUAACCAGGAACCAUGAGGUUGCGGGUUCAAUCUCUGGCCUCGCUCAGUGCGUUAGGGAUCUGGCCUUUCAGUGAGCUGUGGUGUACGUCACAGACGAACCUCCAAUCUACAUUGCUGUGGCUGUGGUAAAGGCCGGCAGCUGUAACUCUGAUUAGACCCUGGCUUGGGAGCCUCUAUGUGUCGCAUAUGCAGCCCUAUAAAGACCAAAAGGGGGGAGGGGGCAGAAGAUCUAAACAGACAUUUCUCCAAAGACAAAAACCUGGGCAAAAAACACAUAAAAAGGAGUUCCCGUCAUGGCGCAGUGGUUAACGAAUCCAACUAGGAACCAUGAGGUUGUGGGUUCGGUCCCUUCUCUUGCUCAGUGGGUUAAUGAUCCAGCGUUGCUGUGAUCUGUGGUGUAGGUUGCAGACACGGCUCGGAUCCCACUUUGCUGUGGCUCUGGUGUAGGCCGGGGUCUACAGUUCCAAUUCGACCCCUAGCUUGGGAACCUCCAUAUGCCGCGGGAGCGGCCGAAGAAGUGGCAAAAAGACAAAAAUAAAAGACAUAAAAAGAUGCUCCACAGCACUAUUAGGGAAUUGAAAAUCAACAUUACAAUGAGGGGAGUUCCCCUGGUGGCUUACUGGUAACAAACCUGACGAGUAUCCAUGAGGAGUUGGGUUCGAUCCCUGGCCUCACUCAGUGGGUUAAGGAUCGAGUGUUGCCAUUAGCUAUGGUGUAGGUCCAAGACUUAACUCGGAUCUGGCAUUGCUGUGGCUGUGGUGUAUGUAGGCCAGCAGCUGCAGCUCGGAUUUGCCCCCUUGCCUGGGAACCUGCAUAUGUUGCUGGUGCUGUUGUGGAAACCACAAAAACCAUGGCAGUGGAAGGAGACAAACAGCACUCGGAGAUAUGGAAAAGCAAGGAUUAUUCAGCUCUGGUGCGGGCUCAGAGGAGUCACCUCCAGAGUCUGAGCACCAGGUCUUUGUUCUCUGCAACUUUGAUACAUUACAAGGUCUUGAUUUUCCCUCUUAAGCAUCCCGGACCUCCCCCCUUCCCCAAGCAGACACUGUUCCUCCCUAAGAAACUGAGCAAGCAAGGUUACAGAAGCAGAACUGAUAAGCAAUGCUGGGAACACAAUUAGCAGGGCUUCUGGCUUGGACAUAGGGUACAUGGUUGCUACAUUAUUACAAGAAGGGUGGUAUGAGGCAAGCAUAGCUGAAAAGGCUUGCAGGUACCUUUUUAGCCAAGGCGGGGGGGGGGGGGGGGGGGGNNNNNNNNNNNNNNNNNNNNNNNNNNNNNNNNNNNNNNNNNNNNNNNNNNNCCCCCCCCCCCGCCACACAAAACCCCAAAACUAAAAUGAGGUACCAUCUUACAUCAGUCAGAAUGGACAUCAUCAAAAAGUUUACACGGAGUUACUGUUGUGGCUCAGUGGUAAUGAACCCAACUAGUAUCCAUGAGGACACAGGUUGGAUCCCUGGCCUCGCUCAGUGGGUUAAGAAUCUGGUGCUGCCAUGAGCUGUGGUGUAGGUCAGGGGCUACGGCUCCAAUUCAACUCCUAGUCUGGGAAGUUCCAUAUGCCUUGGGUGUGGCCCUAAAUAAAAUAAGGAUACAAAUGAACUUAUUUGUAGAACAGAAAGAGACUGGCAGACUUUGAAAAAUUUAUGGUUAUCAAAGGGGACAGGCAGGGGGAGGGAAGGGUGGAUUGGGUGUUGGGAUAGAAAUAAUCUUAAAUUAGGUUGUGGGAGUUCCCGUCGUGGCGCAGUGGUUAACGCAUCCGACUAGGAACCAUGAGGUUUCGGGUUUGAUCCCUGGCCUUGCUCAGUGGGUUAACGAUCCAGCAUUGCCGUGAGCUGUGGUGUAGGUUGCAGAGGAAGCUCGGAUUGCGAGUUGCUGUGGCUCUGGCGUAGGCUGGGGGCUAUGGCUCCGAAUGGACCCCUAGCCUGGGAACCUCCAUAUGCUGCGGGAGCGGCCCAAGAAAUGGCAAAAAGACAAAAAUAAAUAAAUAAGAUAAAAUAAAAU
rnacentral:lncRNA from 1 species